GGUUUGCCCUGAAGAAAAGCAGAGCAAGAAUUGCAGUGACAUUUGCAAGGAAGAGGAAAAUCUUUUCCUUCCGCCUAUGUAUUCAGGAGUUGUGAUAUCCCUCAUAUCCUAGCAACAGUCUUGGAGGACUUACCUAUGUGAGGACGAAUUUUAUUCAUGUACUUCAGCCAACAUGUCACAACAGCUUGAGUGCAGAAACAGAUUCAUUUGGCAACAAUUUGAUUUGGAGAAGGAGGUUAUGUUGCACAAAUAACAAAUGGUUGGAAGUGAGAGCCCAAGACAGGAAGAAACUGUACUGAUUCAAGGUCUAACUGGACAAUGGUGAAGAAAAGGGGAUCCCACUAGUCCCUUUCUAUGGGGGAGAACUUGGACUGGUUCUGCUGUCAGUUUACACAGUGAGAUCUUCACCAUAUGUAACUCUCGAGGCUGGAGAGAUGACACGCCGCCAAAAUGGUUGGGAAACAUGGAGAAGUGGUGAGCUCUGGCUGGACCACCCUAUAAGGAGAGGUGACUUCUGCAAAGUGGUAUUCUGCUGCAGGCUGCUGCUCUGCGUCCUUG